rnacentral:rRNA from 1 species
GACGAACGCUGGCGGCGUGCCUAAUACAUGCAAGUCGAGCGAAGCGGCGGUUUGGUGAGUUACGCGUGGGUAACCUGUCCUUAAUUCUGGGGUACCAUUUGGAAACAGAUGCUACUACCGGAUACUAAAGGAGGGACCUGCGUUGCAUUAGCUAGUUGGUAAGGUAACGGCUUACCAAGGCGAUGAUGCAUAGCCGGGUUGAGAGACUGAUCGGCCACAUUGGGACUGAGACACGGCCCAGACUCCUACGGGAGGCAGCAGUGGGGAAUAUUGCACAAUGGGCGCAAGCCUGAUGCAGCCAUGCCGCGUGUAUGAAGAAGGCCUUCGGGUUGUAAAGUACUUUCAGCGAGGAGGCGUUACUCGCAGAAGAAGCACCGGCUAACUCCGUGCCAGCAGCCGCGGUAAUUC